rnacentral:lncRNA from 1 species
GAGAAACCUUGAAGUUUUGACAUGAGUUUUGACAUAACCAUUACAAUGCAGUGUUUUCUAACUCCAGUUAUCUUUAUAUACAGAUGAAUUCAUCUCAUGUAAGAUUCAAGAUCCUGGUUAUUCCCCCAAAGUAAGAAAUGUUGAGAAUUCAAAGUACGUUUGAGGCCGAAAUAACUGAACUAGAAAAUUCCACUUCCACUGUGGGUACUUUGGCUUUAAAUGUGAAAAUCACUUUGAAUUCCCAUCAAUUCUCACUUUAGUAAACAAACCAUGACUGUUUCUGAAUGAGUGCAGUACAGCCACCAUAGAAUCAGACUAAUUAAAUCUACAAUAUAAAAUCAUGGUUUGAGACUUCACUAGGUUGUUGCUAUGCAUGCCCAUUAGGUAACACAAAUAGAAUUUUGUUUCACACAGUAAUCUAAGUAUGCUAGAUAUUUAUUAUUUUAAUCUAUCUUUUAGGGAGGACAUCUGACAAUGUCGCCCUUGAAGAAGCAAGACUUGAAAGACUAAGAUCUAUUAUUACAUGAGUUGGUGACUUGCAGUUCUCAAUCUACAUUACCGUUUAUUAAUAACAUCUAUUGAUUGCAUUUAUUGGUACACACGGAACAUGCAGUUGAAGCUAGUUAUUGAUAUAGUCAUUAGGCAUUGUAUUUUGUCACAUAAUGAUACUUUAUAAUUCCCAAGACAAACAUGGGAAUAAAAUUACAUUCUCUGGGAAAGUUAAUGUUUCUGCAAGUUUUUCUUUGUGGUUUUUUAUUGCAAGAGUUUAUAGACAGCUAAAGCAUUACAUUCUAUGAAAAAGUAGAUGUUAUUCAAAUUCCUCAGCACUAUCACUUGUGUAAGAUAUGAUAAACAGAAAAAGGACGCACGAUUGUUGAUGUUUGAUCAAAACUACAGAAUGAAAUGAAAGGGAAAUCGAGGGACAAUAAAUAGAAACUUCAUUAUUUACCGGUAAUUACCAGCCAAUGAAUAUAGGGCACUUUAGAGACUUUCCUACAAUACUGACUGCUGUACUAACAAUAUUGAUCUGGUGACAGAUCAGGCAAGAGAAAAAAUGUUGAAUGUGGCGGUGCACAGUCUUAUCUGUGUAUUUUGGAAUUUGUGUGUAUGUUUCUGUUAUUUGAACCGUGUUGUAGAGUUUUCUGUUAAACAUUGGAGUCUGUGAUUACAGAAAAAGGCUCACUGACUUUUGUGCCAUUGAGACACCUUUAUGAGGUUAUUGAAAAGCAUUUUGUUAAAACAAAUAUAUAUUUUGUUGCCUGUUGCAUCACAACUUGAUAUGGCUUUAAUCAUGAUUCAUUUUUAAAUUUUUCCCAUUAUGAAAGCAGUUCUCUUACAAUUUCACUAUAAAGCCUGUUACAAUUUUUAAGAAAGCAGUCAUUUUGGUGUCAUUUAUAAUGGUGAUUCUCCCUCCAUCCACAAAAUUGCCAAACCACAGCUGUGUAUUCCAUAACAAUUAUGGACAUUGGAGAUACAACUGAUCACAGCAUACCGAGGGUGCGUUUCCACGAAAUAAACGUGGACAUUAAUAUUAAUGGUGAUUUUACCAACAGAGCUGUAAUUGCACUGUUAAAAACUAAGCUCAGUCUGGUUAUUUGGUGAUAAUGAGGGUAAAGAGUAUGAAUCUGCAAUCCUUACAUCUUUCAUAUCUUUUUCUAGCAAGUCUACAUGUUACCGGAAUUAUUUGUAAUUUAAAGUAUCUCUGUCAUUGGAAAUAGUCCAUGCCCUGUCAUGUACAUUUUAAACACUGUCUGCACCUUCUGUCAAAUAUACCAACUGUCCCGUUUUUGGCCAGACAUUCCCUAUUUUAGAGUUCUGUUCCACCAUCCCAAUAUUGGGACACCAAGGAACUGUCAUCAGCCUACACCCUUUCAAAGGUGAGUUCGUCAAGUAGUGGCACUGACGACUCCACCAGGUCCCACCCACCCAAUCCUGAUCCCUUACCUCUCAAUGUAUGUUUUGUUGAUCAUUUAUCAAUAUGUUCAGCAGAUAUUUUUUAUUAAACAAAAACAAACAAAAGUUAUCCAGCUAACUUUGAGCAUCAGAUAGAUUUUGAUUGGCUGGUGACAUCCCAUUUUGUUAUUUUUUUCUUAGGUUUGUUUUUUGUUUUCUCAGUAAUUUUGACUGAAGGUUCGAUAACAAUGAUGCAAUUGCAAAAUGGCAACCUCCAUUGGUAAACACUGACAAAUUGUAAAUUGGUAGUUCCACCAUAGCUUGGUUAGAUUAAAAUGAUAUCAAUUUAUUGACAUUAUUGUUUAAAACUUGUUUAUGUAAAAUACAUUUUCAUGUGACAGUGCCUCUUUAACAGUGGGUAUGGUUGGCAUUCAUUGUACAUUAUUAAUAUUUUUUAGUUUAUCUUCCC